rnacentral:tRNA from 1 species
GUCCUUGUAGCUUAUGAGGUAAGAGCGGCCCCAUGAUCGGGGCAGAGGCCGGUUCGAGCCCGGUCGAGGGCA